GAUGAACGCUGGCGGCGUGCCUAAUACAUGCAAGUCGAGCGAACGGACGAGAAGCUUGCUUCUCUGAUGUUAGCGGCGGACGGGUGAGUAACACGUGGAUAACCUACCUAUAAGACUGGGAUAACUUCGGGAAACCGGAGCUAAUACCGGAUAAUAUUUUGAACCGCAUGGUUCAAAAGUGAAAGACGGUCUUGCUGUCACUUAUAGAUGGAUCCGCGCUGCAUUAGCUAGUUGGUAAGGUAACGGCUUACCAAGGCAACGAUGCAUAGCCGACCUGAGAGGGUGAUCGGCCACACUGGAACUGAGACACGGUCCAGACUCCUACGGGAGGCAGCAGUAGGGAAUCUUCCGCAAUGGGCGAAAGCCUGACGGAGCAACGCCGCGUGAGUGAUGAAGGUCUUCGGAUCGUAAAACUCUGUUAUUAGGGAAGAACAUAUGUGUAAGUAACUGUGCACAUCUUGACGGUACCUAAUCAGAAAGCCACGGCUAACUACGUGCCAGCAGCCGCGGUAAUACGUAGGUGGCAAGCGUUAUCCGGAAUUAUUGGGCGUAAAGCGCGCGUAGGCGGUUUUUUAAGUCUGAUGUGAAAGCCCACGGCUCAACCGUGGAGGGUCAUUGGAAACUGGAAAACUUGAGUGCAGAAGAGGAAAGUGGAAUUCCAUGUGUAGCGGUGAAAUGCGCAGAGAUAUGGAGGAACACCAGUGGCGAAGGCGACUUUCUGGUCUGUAACUGACGCUGAUGUGCGAAAGCGUGGGGAUCAAACAGGAUUAGAUACCCUGGUAGUCCACGCCGUAAACGAUGAGUGCUAAGUGUUAGGGGGUUUCCGCCCCUUAGUGCUGCAGCUAACGCAUUAAGCACUCCGCCUGGGGAGUACGACCGCAAGGUUGAAACUCAAAGGAAUUGACGGGGACCCGCACAAGCGGUGGAGCAUGUGGUUUAAUUCGAAGCAACGCAAAGAACCUUACCAAAUCUUGACAUCCUUUGACAACUCUAGAGAUAGAGCCUUCCCCUUCGGGGGACAAAGUGACAGGUGGUGCAUGGUUGUCGUCAGCUCGUGUCGUGAGAUGUUGGGUUAAGUCCCGCAACGAGCGCAACCCUUAAGCUUAGUUGCCAUCAUUAAGUUGGGCACUCUAAGUUGACUGCCGGUGACAAACCGGAGGAAGGUGGGGAUGACGUCAAAUCAUCAUGCCCCUUAUGAUUUGGGCUACACACGUGCUACAAUGGACAAUACAAAGGGCAGCGAAACCGCGAGGUCAAGCAAAUCCCAUAAAGUUGUUCUCAGUUCGGAUUGUAGUCUGCAACUCGACUACAUGAAGCUGGAAUCGCUAGUAAUCGUAGAUCAGCAUGCUACGGUGAAUACGUUCCCGGGUCU
rnacentral:rRNA from 1 species